GGGUCGUUAGCUCAGUUGAGCAGUUGACUUUUAAUCAAUUGGUCGCAGGUUCGAAUCCUGCACGACCCACCA
rnacentral:tRNA from 1 species